AUUCUACACACAACACCCCAUAAUGACAACGUGAAAAAAGUUUACUUGAGGUUUUUGCAAAUUUAUUAAAAAUAAAAAAACUGAGAAAUCACAUGUACAUAAGUAUUCACAGCCUUUGCUCAAUACUUUGUCGAUGCUCCUUUGGCAGCAAUUACAGCCUCAAGUCUUUUUGAAUAUGAUGCCACAAGCUUGGCACACCUAUCCUUGGCCAGUUUCGCCCAUUCCUCUUUGCAGCACCUCUCAAGCUCUAUCAGGUUGGAUGGGAAGCGUCGGUGCACAGCCAUUUUAAGAUCUCUCCAGAGAUGUUCAAUUGGAUUCAAGUCUGGGCUCUGGCUGGGCCACUCAAGGACAUUCACAGAGUUGUCCUGAAGCCACUCCUUUGAUAUCUUGGCUGUGUGCUUAGGGUCGUUGUCCUGCUGAAAGAUGAACCGUCGCCCCAGUCUGAGGUCAAGAGCGCUCUAGAGCAGGUUUUCAUCCAGGAUGUCUCUGUACAUUGCUGCAGUCAUCUUUCCCUUUAUCCUGACUA